GAACCUUCUCCUAGGAUCAAAAUCUUAGUCUGAUGAAUCUUUCUCCUAAGAUGCCAAAAAAAAACAAAAAUGACCUAGUCUGAUGAACCUUCUCCUAGGAUCAAAAUCUUAGUCUGAUGAAUCUUUCUCCUAAGAUGCCAAAAAAAAAAAUGACCUAGUUUGAUGAACCUUCUCCUAGGAUCAAAAUCUUAGUCCGAUGAAUUUUUCUCCUAAGAUAGAGACCUAGUCUGACGAACCUUCUCCUAGGAUCAAAAUCUUAGUCUGAUGAAUCUUUUUCCUAAGAUACCAAAAAGAAAAAACCUAGUCUGACGAAUUUUUCUCCUAAGAUAGAGACCUAGUCUGACGAACCUUCUCCUAGGAUCGAAAUCUUAGUCUGAUGAAUCUUUCUCCUACGAUACCAAAAAAAAAAAGACCUAGUCUGACAAACCUUCUCCUAGGAUCAAAAUCUUAGUCUGAUGAAUCUUUCUCCUAAGAUACCAAAAAAGAAAAGACCUAGUCUGAUGAACCUUCUCCUAGGAUCAAAAUCUUAGUCUGACGAAUUUUUCUCCUAAGAUAGAGACCUAGUUUGAUGAACCUUCUCCUAGGAUCAAAAUCUUAGUCUGACGAAUCUUUCUCCUAAGAUACCAAAAAGAAAAGACCUAGUCUGAUGAACCUUCUCCUAGGAUCUAAAUCUUAGUCUGAUGAAUCUUUCUCCUAAGAUACCAAAAA
rnacentral:lncRNA from 1 species